CCUUUAAAGUUCAAAAACCUUGCAACGGCAACGGUUGACGUCUGCUCUCAUCUCACUGACGUUUCAUUGUGUUCCCUUUUUCUACGCAGCAAACAGGUUGCAAAGUUUUGUUAGCUUGUUUUUUUGGAAUUUAGAGCAUUGAGAUAAAAAAUUUAACUGAUAAUUUUUCCUAAAAAAUAAAGUGAAGUGAAAAGUAAUGAACACGGCUUCUGAUACGUUGGCCGCUGGCCAGCGGAAGGCACAUAUGGCCCUGAUUAGUUGCCGUCUGCCAGUUCCAACUGGAACUGAUUUUCAACGAGGAUCUCCAGAAAUUUAUUUUGUUUCUUCGAAACAGAAAAAUCACUGCUUCACUGCUGCUCGGGAGGAGUUGAUAACGUAACCAAGCCUCGAUAACGCAGCGUCAAGCGGCCAAGGCGAUUCUCAUUCCGUGGCUGAUCCGCUCCAGGGACCAGAAAAAGGAAGUGUUUUAGUGUAAGAAAUUAUUCGAAAUAAAUUAUGGUGUGAUGAAAA